rnacentral:snoRNA from 1 species
AAACUUGAUGAUGAUGAUGUUAUUGGCAAUAUCCUCAAUGGAUUUGGUCUAGAUUAUAAUCCUUUUGUUUCCGCCAUGUUUGUGAAGGACAAUCUAUCUUUGAGC